rnacentral:snRNA from 1 species
GUGUUCACUUGGCAGACACGUUAAAAUUAGAACAAUGCAGAGAUGAGCAUGGUCCUUGCCACAAGUAUGACAGGAAAAUUCUUGAAGCAUCUCAUAUUUGG